rnacentral:rRNA from 2 species
UAACGACUCUCGGCAACGGAUAUCUCGGCUCUCGCAUCGAUGAAGAACGUAGCGAACUGCGAUACUUGGUGUGAAUUGCAGAAUCCCGUGAACCAUCGAGUCUUUGAACGCAAGUUGCGCCCGAAGCUUCGGUCGAGGGCACGUUUGCCUGGGUGUCA